rnacentral:rRNA from 1 species
GAUGAACGCUGGCGGCGUGCCUAAUACAUGCAAGUCGAGCGAACAGACGAGGAGCUUGCUCCUCUGACGUUAGCGGCGGACGGGUGAGUAACACGUGGAUAACCUACCUAUAAGACUGGGAUAACUUCGGGAAACCGGAGCUAAUACCGGAUAAUAUAUUGAACCGCAUGGUUCAAUAGUGAAAGACGGUUUUGCUGUCACUUAUAGAUGGAUCCGCGCCGCAUUAGCUAGUUGGUAAGGUAACGGCUUCCAAGGCAACGAUGCGUAGCCGACCUGAGAGGGUGAUCGGCCACACUGGAACUGAGACACGGUCCAGACUCCUACGGGAGGCAGCAGUAGGGAAUCUUCCGCAAUGGGCGAAAGCUUGACGGAGCAACGCCGCGUGAGUGAUGAAGGUCUUCGGAUCGUAAAACUCUGUUAUUAGGGAAGAACAAAUGUGUAAGUAACUAUGCACGUCUUGACGGUACCUAAUCAGAAAGCCACGGCUAACUACGUG